CGUAGCUGAGGGCCACAGCUCUGCUGCCGUUUGUCUCCCGUCCAGGGAGCCCUGCGCCAGGCUUUGCACUUCUUGCACAUGCACUUCUCUCACCGAAGGUUUUGCUCUCUCGGUUUUGUUCCCUGACGUGCAAACAUAGGUGGAAGGAUCAGAAUUUUGGGUGGCAGAACGGAGAAGCUGGCUGCACGCAAAGUCCUGUCAGAAUGUUUUGACACAAGUGAAAAGACUUUUACCAGUAAAUAUCGGUUUAUUCCUGAAACCAGAAGCCCUAAACAUACCUUUGUUUAUAAGCCUGUGUGGUUCUGAUUGCUGGCAGUUCUCUAAUACAGCUUUAAUCUGAGCAGUUGAGGCUGGUCCCACCUUACCUUCAGACGUCUUGCGGAGGACUCCUGUUACCAGUUUGGUACUCAAAAGCUACACCCCACCAUGAGAAGUCAAUUAUUUUUUAAAAGGCAGUGAUAGAUUACUGUCUCUAGUUCUAAUGGAAAAAUUAUAUUGCAAUGCAACUUUAUAAUAAAUUGUUCAUAUAUUCAUAAUUCCGUGGCAAUCCCAAAUCGGAGGACG
rnacentral:lncRNA from 1 species